AAGACUAUACUUUCAGGAUCAUUUCUAGAGUUUCUGACUUGAGGAAUGUGGUCUAGUGUUGGUAUCGCUGGACCACGAUGAUGCAGUUAUUACUAUUCCUUUCUGAGCGACGAAGCUGACAGAGGGAGGUAGUAAUUAUUACCACUAAUAUGCUUAGUCAUGUUAGAUUGUGCUUUGCUUCUUUAUGGAAUUUGAGGAAGGGAUACCCAUGAUGGU